rnacentral:rRNA from 1 species
UACGAAGGGGGCUAGCGUUGCUCGGAAUCACUGGGCGUAAAGGGUGCGUAGGUGGCAGGGUAAGUCGGAUGUGAAAUCCCGGGGCUCAACCUCGGAACUGCAUUCGAUACUGCUUUGCUUGAGUACUGGAGAGGAGAUUGGAAUUUACGGUGUAGCAGUGAAAUUCGUAGAUAUUCGCAAGAACACCAGUGGCGAAGGCGGCUCACUGGCCCGGUACUGACGCUGAGGUGCGAAAGCGUGGGGAGCAAACAGG